GGUAAAUGACGGUCAGUUAUAUUACUGUUAAAAAUGUGGGCAUUAUGGAUGCAUUUUAUAAAGCAUAUUGAUCAUAUUAAUGUUGGAAAACAUUGAGAGCACACUAUUAGAUUCAGGUACUAUAUGAUAGUUAUGAUAAUAAAUAAAUACAUAUCGAGUGAUAACUAUGACAACCAGUAGAUAGGAGUCGGUAAUAAUCAUUCAUAAGCCAGAGACAAGUAUCAAAACAGAAAGUUUAUAACAUUUUGACUCAUGUUGUGGCUGAUCUGACUUAUUGGAAUUCAGAAUGUGUUAAAUCAUAUUUGAAUUGACUCAUGUUGUGGCUGAUCCGACUUAUUGGAAUUCAGAAUGUGUUAAAUCAUAUUUGAAUUGACUUAAUCCAACUUCAUCCUAAAAUGCAAGCUCAUAUGGUAUGAUGAAUGUUUCAACCUCUUAUUAAUUUAUUUACUUGGUCAUGGAUCCUAGUGGUAGCCAUGUCCUCAUGCAUUAGAUGCAUGUCUCUGGUGUCUUGUGUGGCACAAUAAAGGACAAGUCUUAACUCUGUCUGGACUCUGGUGUCUAGUAUGUGAGUAUGUGCUAUUUUAUUUUUAAAGAAUUAGUUUGUUCUUUUCAAUAUAUUGUUACCUUUAACACAAAAAAUGACCACUAAUAGUCAGCCCCCCAUGUUGAUUUAUUUACUACACAUUAUGGAGAAGUACAUUUGAGGGCCACUUCUUCUUUAAAGGAUCUUUUAUUUGUUAUUGAAUAUUCAUUUGAGAUGCUACUUUUUAUUUUAUGAUAAUAAAUUUAAGAAGAGUCACUUAUCAGUCACCAUAUUAUACCUACUAUACAUGACAUCAUAACAACAAAGCCCAACCUAAACACCUCAUAGAAACAAGUUUUCAAAGACGAGCAAGGUGAAACCAUAAAUAUUUACAUGCUGGAACUUCUUAGGGAAACCUCACUUUAAAAUAUAAUACUGGAAGAAGAAAUAAAUAAUGUUAAUUUGUUGUUUUCACAUACAGGCUGUUAAGUUCGUAGAAAAUUCAGGCAAUGCAUAAACUUGGAAAGUUUACUACAUAUAAUAUCACAGUUUUGAGUUUUCCUUCACGAACCCAACAAAAGAGCUCAAUCGUAUGCACCCAUAAAUGAGGCACCAAAAUAUAUUUAUGCACAUGCAAGUAGCUGAUGUAUUUUCCUUAUUAGCUAGGUAUUGUAUUAUCACUUACAGGGCCAGCCAGAGCUGAGACAAUGCAUGCAACAAUAUUGGUUGCAGAAAUUGCAUAAUUUUCUUGCCUGCUCUCUCAUGCACAUAAAACUCUUUUUAUAUUGACUUUUUUGUUUCUGACUAAUUCUGCAUACCUCCCCUUUCUCUAUUUGGCAUUUUCCUAUUUACAAUUGCAUUUAUGAUUUUGUGAUUUUCAAUUCUAGAAUUGUGUAAUGUAUCAAUUUUAAUUGCAAGCAGCCAACAAUCUGACUAGACAAUUCACAAGUUAUGUUUUCCAUUUUUUAUUACUAUAGCGGCAAUAAUGAUUUCCCUAAACACUCUGACACUUUAUGAAGAUUAUUUCUUCUCAGGACUCAUGGAUUGUUAGGAUAAUUAUGGUGAUGAUUUUUUUAUGGAUUCAUGGUUUAAUAUAUGGUGAGCUUGUAAUGGACCCACAACCUUCAGAUCUUCAGAUCCGAGUUCUAAGAGAUGUAACAAAACUUCUUGGAUGCAGACAUUAAGAAUCACUCAUGAUUUGUUUUUGUAUAAUUGUAAAUCCACUAUAUUUUCCCCUUGAAAUCCCAUAUCAAAGACCCAGAUCCAAAUCCCCUUAAUAGAAUAGCUGUUUAAUUAAGAAUAGCUGAUGACAACUGUUGUUCUUUAUUUCCUUGCUCUUUCGCCUUCUGAAACAAACAGACACAAACACGUACACAUUUUGCUUUGUACACAAACAUGUAUACAAACGCAAUUAAAGCCAAACAUGAAUGAUUCAUAUAAACAUAUAUGGCUGUUAAAACAUUAUAAUUUAAUUAAUCAAGUAAUAUGUACACUAAAUAUGCUCAGGUGAGUAGUCAUUGAGCUUUUGUUAAACCAGACAUAAUGUGUGUUAAUUGAGGCUGAAUUUCAUCUCAAGCAUUAGAAAUUGUACCUGCUUCUGGAAUCUUUGUUUUGAUAGUUAUAUCCUAAAAGCUUAAGUUGUGGAUCAAAAAACUUCAAAACUGUGAGUUUCCUCAAUUGUUUGGUGUGUUACUUUGAUAUACAUAACAUUAUAUGUUUUGGUGUAGAUUAGUGAAUGGUGUGUUUUUGUUUCGUAAGGCUGACUCGUUAGAUAAAUUUGAAAGAAAUUUAUCAAAAACUAUAAAACCAUGUGUUUUCUUAGGUUGAAGUUUGGUAUGUUGUUUUGGUUGCAUAAGAUAAAUAUGAUCUGGUCUGAAAACAACAAUGCCUGAAAUGGUGAACACACCCUCCCUUACCAAUUGCCAUGUUUCCAAUCCCAUCACCCUCUGGCCUGUUUUUAAAGUGUUUGUAGAGGGACUAGUUUCAAAAUAUGAAUGACUAGUAGGACUCGUAUCAGGAGAGGAAAAAACCCCUUAUAUAUGAUUGUGCAUUUUGUUUAGAAAUGCCUAAACAUCUAAUAAUUUUAUUUAUUUUUAUUAAUUUAUUUGUUGGUUGUUAGUACAGUCAAAUGACAGUCUGUUCUUGCUUCGUCUUUUUGGAUACUUUUUUCAUAGGGGAAAGUAUAAAAGUGCUACUCCUCUCCAAAGCUCUUACUUUCAUGUGAGCGUGUGAUUGAGUGCUUUCACAAUUUUGAGUGUGGGUCAGUAGAGAGUGACCACAUCUUUGAGCCUGUUUUGAUUUUAUAUUUUCUUAUGAUCUAGUGAUAGUUUCUGCAGUAGGUGGAUAAUGUUUUUAGGUUCGAGAAGUACUUGGUAAUUUAAUGCAUUGGAUGAUUUGUUAGCAUUGUAUAUUCAUUUAUCUCCAUAGUUUUAUUUGAACAAACAUUAUCACUAUAUUUUCUUAUGAUCUAGUGAUAGUUUCUGCAUUGGAGUUCUGUGAAGCUCUUAAAGGUCUUGAUAAAAUAAGUAAACAACUAGUUCUAGAUAUUGAGAAGCUAGCAGACACAAAAUAAAGUCAUAAUCUUGCGAAGCAAGUCCAUUUGGUAAUUAUUGCAUUUAAAAGCACAAUCCAUCAUUUGUACUUUAAAGCACCAUGGCUUUUAUUUUUCUCAUUUAUUUUGUGAAGCAAUUGUAGGUGUUGUUUUUGCUUACAGCAGUGUUAAUUGUACUCUUUGAAUAACUCCCGAAUGCAAAGAUAUAUAUCUUUCUUGUUGAAGAAUUAUGAUCUAUUCAAGAAGAUCACUAUUUGAAAGAGCAAACACACCUGACCACCAAGUCGUCAUUCGUGCACUUGUCUAGGGUUCACCCAAUCGAUGUACGCAUGUCACUGAGAUAUUUAGAGGUCCGGCCUUUUUUUAGUAAGAGUUUGGAGGUCAUUGGUUUGAAUUUUUCCUAACAGGCUCUUGGAAGCACUAAUGCGAAUCAUGGGAGCACGUGCAGUGUCCGGGCUUCUUUUGAGAGACAACUGACCAUCAGUGAACUGAAGACUGAGGAACGAAAUCAGAAACUUUCCAGAUAUAGAAAGAAGAAGAGCAAAAGGAAUUUCGGAAGAAAAAUCAAGUAUGCAUGCAGGAAAGCCUUAGCAGACAGUCAGCCGAGGGUCCGAGGGAGGUUUGUGAAAACUGAAGAUUGUGAUUUUUCAAAAGCACUCAAGUAAAGUGAGAUAUGUUGGAACGAUUAAAAAAAAAAGAUUUUAGAGGCUAGUAUUAAUCAGUAGUGCCAAGUUAAGUAAAUCUAAUCGUGGCGUCUAAGUUCCAACAUGAUAUUUGAUACGUUUCAGUUUGUUGACUAAUAUGAUAUUUGAUACGUUUCUUUAUUUUUUGUAGGGGAUAUAAAGACUUAAAUAGGAGAAUGCGGUCAAGAUGGCUUUGAUAUAUGAAUCUUUUGGAACAGACUUGUACUUGUGAAUUGAUCAUAUUUUGAUGGUUGUGAAUUGAUCAUAUUUUGAUGGGUUGAAGUUACCUUGUAACUACUUAUUUUUGAAUGAUGGGCUUAAAACAUAUGAAUGCUUCAUUAUUUUUCAUUUUGAUGAUAUCUUAAUGUAGUGUGUUCUUAUUCCAUUUU